UAACUUUUUUUAUGAUUUUAACUACCGUUUGGAAAGUGUGAGCAUGCAUUUUGAACAGGACUGUUCUUCCCCUGCUCCUUGACGUGGGAUUAUUAAUGAGAGCCGCGAAAUGUAGUCGGCACUAAUGAUGGUAUUAAACCGGAAUGCGAUGACCUCAGAAGAGCAAGAGGAGUUACCUUUUGUCCGCUGAACUGGAUGCUUGGCUGAGGUCAUUGUUUCCAAUGAAGUUCCGGAUUUCUGAGAAGUACGAUUCCUCCUUCUCUUCCAAAAGUGCUGUAUUGUCUAACUCGGAGUUGGGGGAAGAUGCAGUGGUGCCCAGGUGAUUGGAAGAGACCCCAGAAUGUUGGCUCACUGCAACAGAAGAGAAGGGGGUGAGGAUACCUGGCCACAGGAAGAACAAAUAACAAUGAGCAAAUCUGAACCUCUCAUCCGUUAUUUAGAAGAUAGCCUCCCAAGCAGAUUGUUUCAUCAAGUGUUCUGCAUUUCCACAAUUCGUAUCAGCUUCGGACACGUGGCAAGUACAGUAUACAAAAGUUGGAUACAAAGAAUUAGUGAGAUCUUCCUAGGAGACAGAUGCAGUAUCUUGAAGUGUACUUCUCCCCAUGAGCUGACAGUAAUUUCUGAAUUUGCUGCAUUGGGCCAGAUUGAGCUACGAUGGACAGUAGUUUUGUAGGUGACCCCUUGUGCCAGCAGCCCACCUCAUAAACCAGGUUUGAUUUUGCACUGGAUUGCCACUCUCAGCAGCAUCAACUGAAGCAUGGAAGAUUGUCUUCGCCCCCCCUUGCUUCAUGCCUACCUAGAAUCAGAUGGCGGCCUACACUGAUUAAACAUCAGAAUUAAAUAUGGCCGCCUUGAUUCGGUCGUAAAUCUUCAGUAUGGAUCUCUCCCUAGAAUCAGGUUGACUCAUUGGAUCAGAGUCAAAAUCUCUCAGUUCUUAGUGUUCUGUCUCCUGUGCAUACAGAGCUUCACAGCACCCACAGCUUAAAACCAAGUGUCUCAAGUGUCCUUAGAUAGUGAGUGUCAGGAGAUUGUUCAAUUAUCCCUAAAUACCCACUGAUCAAUGUUGUGAAACAAGAAUUGACUUCCCAUUCUUUAAACCAGAGACAUAAAGCAUUUAGCCAGCUCUAUCCUAUCUGAUAUACAGAACAGUACAAACAAAAUACCUAUGUAUAUUUAUACAAUCUAUAGAAUACAUACAUGUCAGAUUGCGAUUAAGAGUCAUGGGAAUCUCUUGGUUAAAAAGUCUUCAUUCAUGAAACACCAUGCAGAAAAUAAAUACUGCUUUAGUUGUUUAAGGAGUGUUUGCAAACAAAAAUGAAGAUAAAGGAAGGAAUAAACAAAACUCACAAAAAAGGGUUCAGAAAAUAAGGAAUGACUAAGAAAGUUGAAAAUAUGUGACUAGAAAUGACUGCAGUAAUGGAUUAAUUUUUAACCUGCUCACAUGACAUGCAUGUCGGCCUUGGCUCAGGAGCACUCUCAGCUCUCAGUCAGAAGGCUAUGGGUUUAAACCCUACUUCAGGCGUCGAGCACAUAAUUUGGCAUGACACUCUAAUGCUGUUUCCGAGGUGCCGUCUUUCAGCAAAGACUUUAAACCAUAUGCCUAUUCAAGUGGAUGUAAACAUUCCCACAGCACUAUUCAAAGUAACAAAAUUCUCCUGGUACCCGGGCCAACUUUUAUCCCACACAGUUAUUUAUUUAUAUCUGUAGAACUCACUGUGGCAAAUUGGCUGCUGCGUUGCUUACAUAAUGACAGUAAUCAUACUUGAAAAAGAAAUUUAAUUAAUUGACAUUCUUGAGACAACUGAGGAGGUGAAGGAUUCAGUAUCACUGCACGUCUUGUUUUGUCCUCUGAUGCCUACAUUAAAAAGCUAAGCAGGCGAGAAAUCACUGGGCCACAGGAACUUCCAGAACGGCAUGUUGCUCUGUUAGUGCCAGGAUGUCACUGGACAAGUUGUGAAACAUUCUGGAGGGUAGGGCAAACAGCUAGAGGCAGUAGCUCAUUUUGAUUCCACUGACAGGUUAAAAAAAAGUAUUGUGUUCCUGUGGCUUUGUUUUAAGGAGUUAGGAAAAACAUUAAGAAGUAGAACUUCAAAGUUAGUACCCUCUAAAUUACUCUCCCUGCCGUGUACCAGUCGCUGUUAACAUAAAAGGACAGUGCCAGUGAAUAUGUGGGAAGGCUGUACUCACACCGUACAGACGCAAAGCACUCCUGUAGGGCUGGGACCAACAUCCUUGUGGCUAAGUUUGCUUGUGUUGCCGGAGAACUUGAACAAGUCUGACAAGGCGCGGCAAACUGAGAAAAUAUUCUGAAGUGGUUUUGGAAGGUAGAAGGCAAAAAUAUUAAAGGGAGGCAAAAAGUUAGAAGAAGAAUUAAAAUGCCUCUGGUCCUACUUAAUGGAAUAUGAUUAAAUGCAAUUAGUACAAUGAACAAGCAGUUGCGUUAAAGGUAUAACUGAAGGACAUCUAUAGCAUAGUCAGAGUCUAGAACUCACGGUAUGGAAAGAUGCUGGAAGCAGAAAUCUCACCACUUUUAAUUGAUGCUUAAACGUGUCAUUGAAAAGGUGUAAACUGGAGGGCUACAACUUCAUGCUGAAACUGGGAUUAAGUAUUUCUUUUCUGUCUGGCACAUACACGAAGGGCUGAAUGGCUUCCUUGGCAAUGUAAAUUUUCUACAAGUCCAGAAUACCAGUGUUUACUGCAUUUCUAGAAGUAAUUAUUUUGCAAAGUACUUCAAGAUGCUUGAUUAAUUUGAUAAGAUGCUGUUUUACCACUUCCACUUAUACGAACAUGGGAAUCAAAAUAAGCCACGUAGACAUGUUCACAGUGAGAGAACUUCAAUAUUUUUAACCCCAAUUUCCAGUCUUUCUCAUAUUGUUUGCAAUGUAAAAAUAGAUAGCAGUCUGCACUUUAAACGCAUUUGCUUGAACUGCCUGAAGAGCUAACCCAGAGCUAUAUCCUUAAUACUGUUCAUUAGUCUUGCUGGUCCUGACCACUACUUGAAGUCACAUUCCUUCAAGGCCCAGAAAACACAAAGAAUGUUGUUUUCCAGGCAGUUAAAAGGGGUUGUAGCCUCUGUGCUACAUGCCAAGAACCACUUUGGUUUUGGGGCAGGUUCAGAAUUCAGUUGUGCCUCUGAAGCAACUGACUAACUGUUGCACACUUUCCCCUGUGCGUUCCACAAUACAUGAUGCAAGAUUUGGUGUUCUGGACUACGGCUGGGUCCUGGUUUCUGUGAGAGACGAAAGAGGGCUGGAGGCUAUUUGCCCAACUGGAGCCGAGGGCUGUUGAGGUGGUAAAUUACCAAGAGGUUGGGGGGUGGGAAAGUUUGAUAUAACUGGUAGAAGAACUAAAGGAGAGAUGAGGUUGAUUCUUGAACUCUGAGGGUGAUGGGGGCUUGGAACUUACUACCUGUAAAGGAGGUUGAGGGAGAAACCCUCAGCAUAAUGAAACAGUACUUGGAUGUGCACUUGAAUAGGAUGACCACAAGCCUGCUGCUGGCAGUGGGGAAGAGGCUAGCGAACACUCUAUCGACUGUGAUAUACAUGACGAGCCGAAUAGUGUUUUAAGUUUUCUAAAAAAAAAAUUUCUUAUAAGCAAGUUGACUGAUACCAGAGACUAACUGAAGGAAUACAAGGAGACACGGCCUUCAAAUCAGAGCCAGAUAAUUGAAGAGAGAAAUGGGGAAACUCUUAUUUUUUUGAAAGGAAGACAGAAGAUACAAACGCUUACCCAUAAAAAAGCAAUUUAUAGUAUUUUAAUUAACUUGAAAUCUAAUGUUGGCAGAUUUUAUUAGCUGUGUCAUAACUAAUGGAUCCAAGGCAACUUCAUGGAAAUUGCCCAAUCCAGUCCAUUCUGGAUAUCUUUAAAAAGAAAAUGAAAAAACACCCACUUGAUCAAUACAUUAUACACACAGUGCAUACUUUAUUAGGUACAUCUGUACACCUGCUCACUAAUGCAAGUAUCUAAUCAGGAAACCAUUAGGCAGCAUGGAGACAUGGUCAAGAGGUUCAAUUGUUGUUCAGACCAAACUUCCGAAUGGGGGAAGAAAUGUGAUCCAAGUGAUUUUGACUGUGAAAUAAUUGAGAGUACCAGAUGGGGUGGUUUGAGUAUCUCACAAGCUGAUCUCCUGGGAUUUUCACACACAAAUGUCUUUAGAGUUUACAGAGAAUGGUGAGAAAAACAAAAAAAGACAUCUAGUGAGUGGCAUUUUUGUGGGCAAAGAUGCCUUGUUAAUGAGAGAGGUCAGAGGACAAUGACCAAGCUAGUUAAAGCUGACAGGAUGGUGAUAGUAACUCAAAUAAACAUGCGUUGAAACAGUGGUGUGUAGAAAAGCAUCCUUGAAUGCACAACAUGUCGAAUCUUGAAGUGGAUGGGCUAUAACAGUAGAAGACCACAAACCUGCAUGCCCUAACUAAUGAGGAAUCUAUCAAUCUCAGUGACCACUUUGAGUACUCAGGAGGUACCCAAUAAAGUGCCCACUGAGAAUAAUUUCUGAUCCUGUGAAUCAGGUUCUGUUUUGAAGUGCAGCAUCUUGUGAGAUGAAUGAGCAAUUAACUGUUGCUGGGACUGAGUGGGCGGUAAAUGUUAGCUGGUCAAUUUCUCUGCUGUUAUCUGAAACAGACCGUGGGUUUUACGAUAGAGCUUAAGUACAUUAUCUUCAUAUUUAGUUGAGGCUGCCACCAAGGCCAAAUUAACUUAUAGAUUCAGGAGUAUGAUCUCUUUCUGAUUUUAAGACCAUAAGUCCAUAAGAUAUAGGAGCAGAAUUAGGUCAUUUGGCCCAUCGAGUCUGCUCUGCCAUUUCAUCAUGGCUGAUCCAUUUCCCUCUCAGCCCCAAUCUCCUGCCUUCUCCCCGUAUCUUUUCAUGCCCUGACUAAUCAAGAAUCUAUCAACCUCUGCCUUAAACAGUGACUUGUCCUCCACAGUUGCUCAUGUCAAUGAAUUCCACAGAUUCACCACUCUCUAGCUAAAGGAAUCCCUCCUCAUCUCUGUUCUAAAAGAUUUAGAGGCUGUGUCCUCAGGUCUUAGACUCCCACACCAUAGGAAACAUCCUUUCCAUAUCCACUCUAUUGAGGCCUUUCAACAUUUGUUGGGUUUCCAUGAGGUUUUCACCCUUCCCAUCCCAGUUGAGUUGAUGUAAAUUACCCCUUCCCCACUGGAAAGUAGCCUGAUUUCUUCCUACACAAGGUGAUUAAAUGAGUGGCAAGAGUAUGAAGCAAAUAUCUUCGAGGCUCUGAUGACUGGCACUUAAAGGAACACACUGCCUCUCUUUAAGAAACUGUUUCACUCAGAUUACACAGUUCGUUUGUUGACAGUCUUAGGCUGGCACAGACAAAUCCAUCAUCAAACAGGGCUGCAAUGAACAGUCACUUCUUGACUUUCAUCCAAAGUAAAGCAAAUGGAAAUUAAGAUAACAGCUGAGAAUAGUUUUUACAAGCCGGACAGAGAAUGUUGCAUUUUACUGCAAGGACUGGUUUUUAAAAUAAAUAGAAUUAGCACUAAGAUAAGGAUGUUAAGAUCAACUGGAGAAUAUUAGGAAGGGUUUGGAGGUGGAUCCUCCCUGAGUCCCUCCCUUGCACCUGUUCCAACUUACAAGGUCGCAGUCAGAAUAUAUCGUGGACUUUAUGUCCACUCAGUUGAGAUCUUCAGCUUCUGGAAGAAGUGCGGAGAAUAUUCAUAAUACUGAUUUUCAUUCUUAAGUGUCUGAGUCACAAGGAAACAUGGAGCAUUUGAAUUCCUACCGUGAUAGAAGAUCUUUUAAAAGUAAUGAAGGCAUACAAGAUUGUAAGUUCUACAAAGAUUCACAGAUUUACUUUAAGUAGUGAAUGUAGAAGGAAAGAUCACGGUAUUAGCUGGAGUAUCGGCAGGAUGUGAAAUAAUCUUUAUGCGGAGACUGGCCAAAGUUCCUGGUCCUCUUUGUUCUCCUCUAAGAUGCAUGGGUCAGGUGUGUGAGGGCCGAGUGAGGCGGGAGGGGGGAACAGGAUGUAGAAUUAUAAGGUAGAAGUUAAGCUCAAGUAAAACUGUGGAACCUUGGCCUAAGUGGAAACAAUAAAACAUUAGUCUAAGAUAAAAUCAUUGAGCCCAAGAUGAACCUCGACCAUUGUAGAACUAGUUUUUGAGAAUGUAGAACUAUAGCCCUCAUACAGCCAUAGUGCCUCAACACAGGUAAAGGUAUAGAGUACAAUUAAAGCUGAGAAUGUUAACCCAAAUAAAGACACAGUACCAAAGCCAAAUCAAAGAGAUGGAACUUAGACUAACUAAGAAUAUUGAGUUAUAGCUCAAACUAAAGGUGUAGAAUUAUAGUCUGAGUAAAGAUCCAGAUGAGUCCUCUUGAGGAUGUAGACCCACAGUUCGAAUGAAGAUGUAAAACUCUAACCAGGGUGAAGAUGCAGAACGGUAACCCAGAUGGGGGUGUGGAGUCUUAAACCUUGAACAUGUAGAAUUAUUAACCAAUUAAUGGUGUAGAAUCUUAACCCAAGUAAUGAUGCAAACCUUUAUCCAAAUGAAGAUAUAGAAAUUUAGCCAAAGAUAUAUACCCACAGCUCAGAUAAAGAUGUUUAUGUAAAGCCCAAUGUGAAAAAUAUUGGAUAUUGUAGGAAAAUGGGCCAAAUGGAAGAUUACAUGUAAUCUAAUGGAUGGAAGCAGAAAUUAUAAUCAAUCCCUGUUAUUAGUAUGAUACGAAUAAAUCCAAUUCUGUGGCAAUACUAUGGUCUAAUAUUUCCUUAUGACAAAGGAGGAAGACAUUCAACCACUGAGUCUAUGAUUUGCACAAUUUGUCUUCUUUUGCACAAGGAUUGCCUUUGUAUGUCAUUAAUUCUAUUGUAUUUCUUUUUUAACUGUGAAUGUGCCCACAAAUAUGAAUAUCAGGGUAGCAUAUGGUGAUAUGUACAUGGUUUUGUAAUAAACUUUGAACUUUAGAGAAACCCUAUUCGCUCACUUACCACCCUGCAACCAGUUCUCGUUCAACUACACUUGAGGAAAUUUUCCAUUUGUUUAACCUACCAGUCAGCCUGUCUCUGAGAUGUGGGUGAAACUAGAGCAUCUGGGCAGUCACAGAGAGAACCUGCAAACUGCACAUAUACUGUGGACAGCUCUGAAAGCCAAGUCACUGGAACAGCGAGGGACUACACCACUGCGAGCUCAGUUCCGCACCUUGAGGACGGAUUUUGAGCAACCAACCUCUCAGCAAAAAUGUCCUACUUUCAAGAAAAUAGGAAAGCGAUGCAGUAGAGUAAUUUCAUAGAAAAAGGAGUAAGCUAUAAACCAAGAGUGAUGUUCAAGCUAAAGUGAUCUCCUUCAACAGCUGUGUCUACUAAAUAGUUUGUGCAAGAAAACAUGCUUGGGUCACUAUUAAUGAUAAAAUUGGAAGGGAAGUGGUGGGGAAACAAACAUCAAGGAGCAGGGAAAUUAAACAUUGCCCCCUUUUGAGAACUGAAUUGUGAGAGUGUGGGUCAAGCUCUAAGUGUACUGCCUUUUGAAUUGAAUAGCCUGCUUAGAAUGCACAAUAGCCGAGAAGCUAAGCACUUCCCUUAUAGAUCUGCACAUGACAUCAUCUCCAAACAGCAGGAAAACUGUAGGAAGCCAUAUAUCAACUAUUAUAUUUUCUACAGUACAAAUAUGAGUAACCUUCCUCAGACCUUUUGCUUGCUGUACAGCUAUUAAAUGGGCUCCAGGGAAUACAAUGCCACAAAAUUGUUUAAAAGUUCUUAUUCGAUCAACAUGCAGCGUGAUGAGGUGGCAUUUGUGGAAACAUAGAGUCUUCUUUGAGAUUUCCUUUGUUUCAUUUUUUUUCCAGCAAAAUACUUUAAGCACAGAAAAAAAAAGACUAAAUACACUUUGCUGCUCAAAAAAUAACAAACACGAUAAUUUUUGUGUCUACUUUAAGAAGGGGCUACGGCCAGAAUCUGGAAAAUGUAACAACAACAAGCCCGUGCUUCAUUCUAAUUGCAAGUUUCAAACACUCCACAUAAAGUGGGAAAACCGAUCACCAAUGAUUAGUCAGGUGCAGUUAUCAUUCUUUGCUGAUUUAACUAUUCUCAGUUAGUCAAUCUUAGAGGGUGCAAAUGUUUACCUUACAUAUUUUCUUAUGUUUGCAAGACUCUGUUGAACAUUAAUAAUACAAACUACUCUUAAGUCCAGUUCAUUAGCAAGAUUGACACCAGAGAAGCUGCAUAGCCUUGAGUUAGAGCAUGGACAAAAUUGGCAGCAUUGCCAAUUACAACCACCCAGGGAAGGAGGCACUGGAAGCAGCGUGAGAGAAAACAGAAGCCCGACAAGCACACUGUAAUCAGUACUAGGUUAUAAGGCUAACCCCUGUGGCCAGCUCUCCCAUCAAUACUGCUCUCCAGUGUUCGCUCCCUGUAAAACAAACUGGAUUAC